UACGAAGGUGGCAAGCGUUGUUCGGAUUUACUGGGCGUACAGGGAGCGUAGGCGGUUGGAUAAGCCCUCCGUGAAAUCUCCAGGCUUAACCUGGAAAGUGCAGAGGGGACUGUUCAGCUAGAGGAUGGGAGAGGAGCGCGGAAUUCCCGGUGUAGCGGUGAAAUGCGUAGAGAUCGGGAGGAACACCUGUGGCGAAGGCGCCUUGCUGGCCGAUUUCUGACGCUGAGGCGCGAAAGCGUGGGGAGCAAACAGG
rnacentral:rRNA from 1 species